GACGAACGCUGGCGGCGUGCCUAAUACAUGCAAGUUGAGCGCUGAAGGUUGGUACUUGUACCAACUGGAUGAGCAGCGAACGGGUGAGUAACGCGUGGGGAAUCUGCCUUUGAGCGGGGGACAACAUUUGGAAACGAAUGCUAAUACCGCAUAAAAACUUUAAACACAAGUUUUAAGUUUGAAAGAUGCAAUUGCAUCACUCAAAGAUGAUCCCGCGUUGUAUUAGCUAGUUGGUAAGGUAAAGGCUCACCAAGGCGAUGAUACAUAGCCGACCUGAGAGGGUGAUCGGCCACAUUGGGACUGAGACACGGCCCAAACGCCUACGGGAGGCAGCAGUAGGGAAUCUUCGGCAAUGGACGAAAGUCUGACCGAGCAACGCCGCGGGAGUGAAGAAGGGUUUCGGAUCGUAAAACUCUGUUGGUAGAGAAGAACGUUGGUGAGAGUGGAAAGCUCAUCAAGUGACGGUAACUACCCAGAAAGGGACGGCUAACUACGUG
rnacentral:rRNA from 1 species